UGGGGAAUUUUGGACAAUGGGCGAAAGCCUGAUCCAGCAAUGCCGCGUGUGUGAAGAAGGCCUUCGGGUUGUAAAGCACUUUUGUCCGGAAAGAAAUCCUUGGCUCUAAUACAGUCGGGGGAUGACGGUACCGGAAGAAUAAGCACCGGCUAACUACGUGCCAGCAGCCGCGGUAAUACGUAGGGUGCAAGCGUUAAUCGGAAUUACUGGGCGUAAAGCGUGCGCAGGCGGUUUGCUAAGACAGAUGUGAAAUCCCCGGGCUUAACCUGGGAACUGCAUUUGUGACUGGCGGGCUAGAGUAUGGCAGAGGGGGGUAGAAUUCCACGUGUAGCAGUGAAAUGCGUAGAGAUGUGGAGGAAUACCGAUGGCGAAGGCAGCCCCCUGGGCCAAUACUGACGCUCAUGCACGAAAGCGUGGGGAGCAAACAGGAUUAGAUACCCUGGUAGUCCACGCCCUAAACGAUGUCAACUAGUUGUUGGGGAUUCAUUUCCUUAGUAACGUAGCUAACGCGUGAAGUUGACCGCCUGGGGAGUACGGUCGCAAGA
rnacentral:rRNA from 1 species